GAUGAAGAACGUAGCGAAAUGCGAUAAGUAAUGUGAAUUGCAGAAUUCAGUGAAUCAUCGAAUCUUUGAACGCACAUUGCGCCCCUUGGUAUUCCGAGGGGCAUGCCUGUUCGAGCGUCAUAUUAACCACUCCCGCUUGCGGGGUCUUGGGCUUCGCCUCCGGGCGGGCCUUAAAAUCAGUGGCGGUGCCGUCGGGCUCUACGCGUAGUAAAUUUUCUCGCGAUAGGGUCCCGGUGGAUGCUUGCCAACAACCCCAACUUCUUAAGGUUGACCUCGGAUCAGGUAGGGAUACCCGCUGAACUUAAGCAUAUCAAUAAGCGGAGGA
rnacentral:misc_RNA from 1 species